ACGGCUCAGUAACACGUAGUCAAUCUACCCUAUGGACGGGAAUAACCUCGGGAAACUGAGAAUAAUGCCCGAUAGAACAUUAUGCCUGGAAUGGGUUAUGUUUCAAAUGAUUUAUCGCCAUAGGAUGGGACUGCGGCCUAUCAGUUUGUUGGUGAGGUAAUGGCCCACCAAGACUAUUACAGGUACGGGCUCUGAGAGGAGUAACCCGGAGAUGGGUACUGAGACACGGACCCAGGCCCUAUGGGGCGCAGCAGGCGAGAAAACUUUGCAAUGUGCGAAAGCACGACAAGGUUAAUCCGAGUGGUUUCUGCUAAAGAAACCUUUUGUCAGUCCUAGAAACACUAACGAAUAAGGGGUGGGCAAGUUCUGGUGUCAGCCGCCGCGGUAAAACCAGCACCUCAAGUGGUCAGGAUGAUUAUUGGGCCUAAAGCAUCCGUAGCCCGUUUUGUGAGUUUUCGGUUAAAUCCAUGCGCUUAACGUAUGGGCUGCCGGGAAUACUGCAUAACUAGGAAGUGGGAGAGGUAGACGGUACUCGGUAGGAAGGGGUAAAAUCCUUUGAUCUAUUGAUGACCACCUGUGGCGAAGGCGGUCUACCAGAACACGUUCGACGGUGAGGGAUGAAAGCUGGGGGAGCAAACCGGAUUAGAUACCCGGGUAGUCCCAGCUGUAAACUAUGCAAACUCAGUGAUGCAUUGGCUUAUGGCCUAUGCAGUGCUGCAGGGAAGCCGUUAAGUUUGCCGCCUGGGAAGUACGUACGCGAGUAUGAAACUUAAAGGAAUUGGCGGGGGAGCAC
rnacentral:rRNA from 1 species